rnacentral:lncRNA from 1 species
CUUUAGGUUGUGGUCUCUUUUUCAAAUCGUCGAUCCUUGUGUCGAGGUCUGCAAAGCAACAUUCAGAGUAGAGAACGAUUCUAUCUAAGAUUGCUAUGUCAGAAAAAAUUCAGAGCAAGGUGCACCUUAGCCUAAACUUCUCCUACCAUAAAGACAUUUUUCACCUCAAAGUUAGCCAUUGAAGUUAUAAUAAGCAAUGUGAGUCAUCAUGCCUAGUAGUGAUCUGCAUACAAAUUAG